ensembl:lncRNA
GGGAGGGAGAGGGGAGGGAGGGGAGGAGGCAGAGGCGGGCAGGCUCAGAGCCCCAGUUACUCAGGCACUGCCUGCCCAGGAAGCUGAGGCUCCCAGGCAGAGCAGCCUCGGCUCCCGGCACCCAAGCAGGGACCCGGCCGCCAGGCCUCGCUGAUCAGCGCCGGGUGCCCGAAGCCCUGGGGCCCGGUCCUCAUGUGUUCGCUCUGCGCCCAGCUGGAAGGGCGAGGUGGAACAGGAAGGCCGGGGAAGGGAAAAGUUUGCGACAGGUAGAGAGACGCCAGGAAUGUGAAACAAGCUUCCAGAGCCCGCCCCAUCCACGACCCCAGCUCCAGCCCCGGCCUGGCCCCACAACCUCCGCCCCGGGGCCAGCCUCCCACUCCCCGGGGGCCACCGCCGCCGGAGACAGAGGAAGAAAGAACACGGGGAAAUUACUUUCGUAUUUGCACCGCGCGCGGGCGCACACGCGCACACACACACACACACACACACACACGCGCGCACAUCUUCCCUCUGGGUUCUCCCGGCUGGGGCAGCCCCAAUCAGGCGUGGGCCCGAAAGCCCCUCGGGUUUCCAAAAGCCUCACUCGAAGCUCCUCCACCUCCACACACCCCUUGGCGCUCCCGGCUCCGCAAGGCGCGCCUCGUUUCCCGGGGCGAUUCCCACACAAACAACUUAACCGCGCCCCCACCUCCCAUUUACAAGAGUGUGUGUUUUCUCUAGAAAUUCAGAGGCACAACUUAACACCACCAUCUCUCGCCACCCCCGAAAUCCCGCGCCUUCCCCAGAGGUUCCAGUACGCACACAGGAACACAACUUCACAUUUCCCCAAAGGAGGCGAAGGAGUCCGAGGCGGUCCUUCCCCGGCCUUCCUUACUCCCUCCUCCGGAGCCCGGUCCGGCCCGGCCCCCGGGGUUCCGAGCGAGGGCUGGAGGCGGGCUCGGUCCGCGCGCGCACUGCCUACCGCACUCGCGCCCCACACGCCCGGAGCCCCGGCUCCCGCGCGCAGCCCGAGCCGGCUCCGCGCAGCCCGGCACUCGCCAGGAUGCAGUCCGGGCCUCCGCCCCCGGCCGCCUCGAGGAGUGCAGCGAGCAGCGCUACGGGCCACCCGCCCACCCCGAAGGAUCCUUGAAAGGAAAAGCCCCAGCGCUCAGCACCCCACGGUCGCACCCCAGAACCCGCGGGGAGCGGAAAAAGCCUCGGGGCUAACAGGCUCCUAGCUCUGUCCCCAAACUUACCCGGCGCUGCGAGCACCGCUGCCGCCGCUGGAGGACGCGCCGCUGCCGGCGAGGGCCGGCUGGGGCCGGGAGGAGAGCGGCGAAGGCGCCGGGAUCGCGCAGCUCGGCUCGGCUCAGCCCGGCCCCCGCUCCGUGCCGGCCGGGGCCGGAGUCAACGCGCUGCGCCGGCGCUGCUAGCCCGCCUGGCCGCCGAACGUUGCUCGCCCGCCCGCCCGCCGCCCGGCUGCUAGCUCUCCCGGGCGCCCGCCGCAGCCGCCUGCUUUUUUAAUGUCCACAGACAGUGAAAAGGAACUCGGCGUUAGGGGGCUGCCGCGGUGUCGGAGGCGAGGCGAGGAAGGGAGCUGGAAUAACAAAGGGCUGGAGAGAUCACUCCUUCUACCGCCGGGAGAGAGGAGGCAACAUGAAUUCAUUCCCAAGGCUCUGGUAGUCUGACAGCCGAUGAACUCAGCCUGGAAUUCCUGAAGGCUUGGAGCCUGCAGCUCGGGUCCCCGGGACUUGAUGUGUCCGUGUGCCGUGCGGAACCUGUUUGAUUUUCCCAGGGGAAACCCUGCCUUCUCCUGCCACUGGGCACUGGGGAAGGUGCUCCUUUCCUGCCUCCUCAGCCUUCCGACCUGUCACAAGGACUGUUACUGCUGCUGCUUCCCCCACUCACCCACCCACAGGUGGCAGCUGAGUAUCUGGGGUGGGUGGGUUAUUUGCAAUCACUUCCUGACCUUUAGGGACACCCAGAGGCACCAUCCCAGCAAAUUCCUGUGGGAGGGAGUCCCUGCUUCUCAGCCUGUGGGUGGCCCAAGUUCACAGGUGGGUUGAGGGCUGCCUGAGAAAUCCUUGAAGGCCUGCUUUGGAAAGUGGGAAUUCAGCUUGCUGCCUGUUGGCUAAACCUACAGCUCACCCACCACAGCAUCCUACAGCAUUGCAAUGAGCAGAAAGCCACCCCCACGCCCAGGACUAAAAUCCCAUAGUGGAGUUUUCCAAGCAUUUAAGGACUUGGAAUGCAAGAAACCAGCCACAGCCAGCAACUGGGCCAGUUCCUGUUGCCUUGAUGACACCGGGUCAGGACACCUGGCCCUCUCAGCCUUCUGUCCAAAUCCCUCACUGAGUACCCAGAGCUGGCUAUCCCCUAGGAGGUGGGGGGAUGCAGAUAACCUCAGGAUGACCAUUCAUGUUCAAAAGCUCCUGUCCAGAAGCUUCUGGCCAGUAUUUAUACCUGGGAACCAGGAAGUGACUGCAGGAACCAAGCAGGAGCCAAGCAGGAACCAGCCCAGAGCGAGUGCUAUUUGUGUACACGCCUUAUCUCCCUGCCAGACAGAGAGGCAGCACUGGCUUGUUGAAAGAGCUUGGACUUUGGAGCCGAAUGACCUGGCCCCAGCAUCCCAGCCCUGCAGGGAGCUCAUACCAACUUUGCAAGCCUCAGUUUCCUUAUCUGUGAAGUGGGACUGCUGAUAACUCCUUUCAAGAUGAUUUUGGCCAUUAAAUUUGACUAGAAAUGUAAAUUCCUUUUCCUGUUCCCAUGUGGACUGCCCUCCUUUUGGGGACAGAUUGCCUCUUUGUAGUCUUCUGUAAUGUUAAUAGUGACAAAAGUAUAUGGCUGUGCUGUGCAGGGAGUGUUGUUCUCAGAACUUACAUAGGCUAACCCAUUUCAGCCUUGCAAAAAUUGGAGCUAUAGUGUUAUGUCCAUUGAUAAAUGACAGUGUGGAAGAGCUGAGGUUUGAAUCCAGGAAAACUGGCCCCACAGCCUUGGCUGUUGGGCUCCAUGCCAUGUUGCCGUGCUAUAAGGGUUCUUGGUGGCUUGUGGAGUGGUAGAGUGCAUGACAUCUUGGCAGUCCUGUUCCUUGCCCUGACCCAAGGGGUAGGGGCAGGGAGAUGCAGGAGAC